rnacentral:rRNA from 1 species
AUUGAACGCUGGCGGCAUGCCUUACACAUGCAAGUCGAACGGCAGCACGGACUUCGGUCUGGUGGCGAGUGGCGAACGGGUGAGUAAUGUAUCGGAACGUACCUUUCAGUGGGGGAUAACGUAGCGAAAGUUACGCUAAUACCGCAUAUUCUGUGCGCAGGAAAGCAGGGGAUCGCAAGACCUUGCGCUGAUUGAGCGGCCGAUAUCAGAUUAGCUAGUUGGUGAGGUAAAGGCUCACCAAGGCGACGAUCUGUAGCGGGUCUGAGAGGAUGAUCCGCCACACUGGAACUGAGACACGGUCCAGACUCCUACGGGAGGCAGCAGUGGGGAAUUUUGGACAAUGGGGGCGAACCCUGAUCCAGCCAUGCCGCGUGAGUGAAGAAGGCCUCGGUUGUAAG